UAGGGAAUCUUCGGCAAUGGACGAAAGUCUGACCGAGCAACGCCGCGUGAGUGAAGAAGGUUUUCGGAUCGUAAAACUCUGUUGUUAGAGAAGAACAAGGACGUUAGUAACUGAACGUCCCCUGACGGUAUCUAACCAGAAAGCCACGGCUAACUACGUGCCAGCAGCCGCGGUAAUACGUAGGUGGCAAGCGUUGUCCGGAUUUAUUGGGCGUAAAGCGAGCGCAGGCGGUUUCUUAAGUCUGAUGUGAAAGCCCCCGGCUCAACCGGGGAGGGUCAUUGGAAACUGGGAGACUUGAGUGCAGAAGAGGAGAGUUGAAUUCCAUGUGUAGCGGUGGAAUGCGUAGAUAUAUGGAGGAACACCAGUGGCGAAGGCGGCUCUCUGGUCUGUAACUGACGCUGAGGCUCGAAAGCGUGGGGAGCAAACAGG
rnacentral:rRNA from 1 species